GAGGUAGUAGCAGGGUUGGAAAUUGAUAGAACAAGCUGGAUCCAAUUGCCAGUCGCUUACGUCCUUCCAAUGACGAGAGAACCAAUCUGCAACUAGGUUGUCCAUGCCCGGAAGAUAUUCCGCUCUAGGCAGAAUUGGUAGAGUUCCUUGGUAAGGUCGGACAGUAAUUUGGAUCGGGAACCUCCUAACCGAUUCACAUAACGCGCUGCAG